GAAUCCAGCCCCAGCUCUGGAGCCAGGGGUCUCUUCCAAUAUCAGCACCAUGGCCUGGAGUCUUCUCCUCCUCCAGUUCCUCCUCACUUGCUGCCCAGGGUCCAAUUCUCAGGCUGUAGUGACUCAGGAGCCCUCACUGACUGUGUCCCCAGGAGGGACAGUCACUCUCACCUGUGGCUCCAGUGCUGGAGCAGUCACUGGGAGUCAUUAUCCCUACUGGUUCCAGCAGAAGCCUGGACAAGCCCCUAGAACAUUGAUUUAUGAUACAAGCAAUAAGCUCUCCUGGACGCCUACCCGGUUCUCAGGCUCCCUCGCUGGGGGCAAAGCUGUCCUGACACUGUCAGGUGCACAGCCUGAGGACGAGGCUGAGUAUUACUGCUGGCUGUACUAUAGUGAUGCUCAGCACAGUGACAGACUCAUAAGAGGAACCAAGACAAAAACCUCCCUAGGCCCUUGUGAUGUGGAGAUCACAUGAUCAGACAUGCCAGCUCCCAAGACAGCCUACAUGGGGAGAAGCCAUAGAAAGGGGAAGGAAGGGGUCUGAAUUGAUUUCUAUCUCUGCUUGUUCCCUGAAGUGAAGGAAAUGUAAGAGCGAUUUGCUGUAAUUGAAUCAGAACAAGAAAAAGUUAAUUGUUUUAUAUUAAAAAAAAAAAACAGAAACAGCAG